UUAGGUUCUAUCAAAUUUUGGUACACAAAUAUUUCUGUACACUUUAAUCAGACAUUGGAUAUUGGAAUGUCGAUACCCGCAGCGAAGGAAUCCGCAGGCCCCAUAUCAUCAGGAAGAUGGGGUGGUGCCAGAGCAAAACGAGAUGACCGGGACCUCGAACGUGAACGAGACCGGGAACGAGACAGGGACAGGGACAGGGACCACGAACGUGAACGUGAACCCGACCGCGCCCGUGACCGUAACCGCGACGGAGAGGAGAGGGAAGACCGCUAUGACCGAACGGUCCGCAAGAUGAAAAAGUUUGCAACAUAUUGUGAAUGGGCAUUCCUAGCCAUAUUCAUUGUAGUUGCAAUAGUAGUUUUGAUUCUCUAUUUUACAUGUAAAGAUUGUUUCAACAAAGUACUGGGAAAAAAUAACUAAAUCAAUUUAUCAAAAAUACCCCAAGCAACAAACUAAGAACUAAGAAAGAAGGCAGGCUGUACCCAAGAUAAAUCUCUGAAAAUAGAACAAUAACAAAUGUAGUAGACUGUUAGUUUCUAUCAAAUUUUGGCUUCGAUUUACACACAUGUAAAUUACGUACAAAUGAUAAUACCCGCUGCAACCGAAUCCGAAGGCCCUAUAUCAUCAGGGAGAGGGCGUAGCAGAAGGAGAAACGACGACGACGAUGAUGAAGGCUUUUUCACGGAUCUCUGUGCAAUAUUAAGAGAUCAUCGGAAAAAGUGUUUAAUAUUUCUCGCAGUUGUGCUUGUCAUAUUUAUUAUAUUAUUAGUUCUCGCAAUUACAGUUCCAGAACUGUUUAAUCUGCUAACGAAGAAAAAAAAUUAUUAAGAGUUACGCAAGAUGUUUGCAGACUUGGCGGUGGAAGCCGAAUCCGUGGACCGCAUAGGGUUCGCCUGUUGUUGGUGUCAAAAUCGAAGAAAUUGCUGCUUUGUCAUUUUGUUUGUAUUCUGUUUUAUAUCAUUAACAUGGCUGUGCGCGUCUUUCAGUAUCAGGGGCUGACG